ensembl:lncRNA
GGACCGGGACGAUGCAGGAUGUCUUCCAUAGGGCGGGCACUCUCCCCAGUCGCAGACUAUUAUGAGAGUGGAAGAAAAAGACGUUGUGUAGUGUACUCCAAACAAGAGAAAACAUGCUGAAGUGUUUUUUUCCCCUCAUGCUGAGGUAUGUCAAGUCUUCGUAUUAUUCCACUCAGUUUUUUUCAUCACUGGAGGCUUUAUUGGACAUUAGAUGGGAGAGCCACUUGAAGAAUCCUAAAUACAAGUCUGUAGGAAAAUUCUGUAAUUCCCAAGAUAGCUUUUGGCUAAUACAUGACCUGACUCCUCCUGCAAAAAUUUUGGAAACACGAUGAUCCCAAUGUUAGGUAGAGUAGAAGAGUGCUAUAUAAGAACCAGUCCAUUUACCAUGACCUGAGCAUCCAUUCUAUCUAACAGUCACACAGAUUCAUAGGCCAAUGGGCAAAGUUAGUAUCUUAUCCAAGGGUAUUUUGCAUGAGACUGGGAGCAGCUAGGGAAUGAUCAAAUUGCCAAGUAGAAAAUGACCUGAUCUACUCCCCGAGCUGCAGCCCAGGCAGUGUGACAGCCACAAGUCAAGAAAUCCCAAAGCAAGAAAGAUAUCAUAGAUGAUAAAACACACUACACACUAGAUAAAGGGCAAGAGCAACUAGAGGAGUGUUAUAGAGUUUUUUAAAAAGUGUCACAGAAAAUUGGCCGAUGAAAAAAAAAAAUAAAUAAAUAAAAUCAAUUGUAGAAAAUAAAAUGAAAAAAUAAAAGAAACAAUAUAUGUAACAAAUUUCGAAACCAGGACAUUCAAAGGUAAUAGAUUAAUUUCCACCACAAGCUGAUCAGCUAACCUUAAGAGUACAAGCUUUACAACCUAAGCUGCUAUUACCCUUACCUCUUUUGUCCCAUCAUCCUUAAUGGCAAUACUUUCAAAAGGCCUAUCUGGGAACCAGUCACGGCAGAUGGCUGCCCCUCCCUUAGCUUGGUUCUGUUGGAGGUUUCCUCCUGUUAAAAGGGAGGUUUUCCUUCCCACUUACCUACUUAGUGCUUGCUCAUAGGGGGUUGAUUACUGGGGUUUGUCUGUAUUAUUGUAGGUUCUUUAUCUUACAAGAUUAAGCACUUUGAAGCAACUGUUGUUGUGAUUUGGUGCUUUAUAAAUAAAACUGAAUUGAAUUUAACUGAACACCAAACCAAUCAUUUUGGAUUCAGACUUCCUGUUUUACUUUGACAGUCUGUGGCUGUAUCCAAAUUCAGGGUCUGCAGCCUUACCGGUGUUUGCGUACGCAGCCUCAAGGGC